rnacentral:rRNA from 1 species
AUACGGAGGGAGCAAGCGUUAUUCGGAAUCACUGGGCGUAAAGGACGCGUAGGCGGGUUUGUAAGUCAGGUGUGAAAUCCUACAGCCCAACUGUAGAACUGCACUUGAAACUACAGACCUAGAGUAUGGAAGGGGCAGAUGGAAUUAGUGGUGUAGGGGUAAAAUCCGUAGAUAUCACUAGGAAUACCGAAAGCGAAGGCGAUCUGCUGGGACAUUACUGACGCUGAGGCGUGAAAGCGUGGGGAGCAAACAGGAUUAGAAACCCCAGUAGUCC